UGUUAAAAAUUUCAUCUAUUUGUUCUAUUAAAAACUGGUGUGGCUAACGGAAUAACCAAACAGUGACACAUGGCAUACCAUGUGUACCUUAUGCUAACAUACGGGGACUAUUUUUAAUAGCAAAAUUGGAUAUAAUUUUUAACA
rfam:Gossypium raimondii Chr10_contig_555, whole genome shotgun sequence.